rnacentral:rRNA from 1 species
UACGUAGGUGGCAAGCGUUGUCCGGAUUUAUUGGGGUUUAAAGGGUGCGUAGGCGGCCCUGUAAGUCAGUGCUGAAAUACCCCGGCUUAACCGGGGGGUGGCAUUGAUACUGGCAGGGCUUGAGUACAGAUGAGGUAGGCGGAAUUGACGGUGUAGCGGUGAAAUGCAUAGAUAUCGUCAAGAACACCGAUAGCGAAGGCAGCUUACUGGGCUGUAACUGACGCUGAUGCACGAAAGUGUGGGGAUCAAACAGG